CUACCGCUGUGCACCGACCCCUAAUUUCACCGCUGCUUUUACCGGCGCGCCCCAACACAUAGAUUCAGACGUGCAGCAGACGUGGCUUUAUUACGCAAACAGAUGGGUGUCAGGAGCAGGGACCCGAGGGGAGGCAGGAGGACAGAGAGGGCGUAGGCGUCGGUACCAGGCUGAAGAGUGCCCGGCGGCCAGUGGAAGGUGAGGGCGGUGGACCUGCCUGCAGCGAACUGAGCGCCGCCUGACGAUGCUCUCGGGAUACGUCUCCGCGCAGGUCCAAGAGGGCGGAGACAUGAUCCUCGCUGCAGGAAAACCACCACGUGCGUCAGUCAGCCCAGCCCUCGUCCUCCUGGGCCGCUCCUCCCCUGUCCCCUUCCCCGCACCUCACGUCGGGAAAUUGUUGCCUCAGGCCUGCCACCUCGAGGCCAAGCAGUGUGGGGUCGUGGAGGUUGAGUAGUUCCCUCAGCGCAAGCAAAACGGGCGCGCAGUGAGCGCUCUCCUCCAGCCCCUGCACACGUGGGAACAGGGUUUCCAGCCAGCCCCCGGCUCCCACCGGACUACAGAGAUCCUCGACUGUCUGCCCUCCCAGCGAGCCCUCACCAAACCGAGGAAAAGCUCUUUAAGCUGGGCAGCAUCGUGCCGAAGGCGUUCAGCAGCCUGGCUCCGCUCGUCCGGCCCGCGGCACACGAGGCGGCCCUGCAUCAGCGCCCUUAGACUGGGAUGGCAACCUCACCUGGAGCUCAACCUGCAGUACUUCCAAAACCAGGCGGCAGAUCCUCCUCUGUACGUCGUCCAGCGCGGCUUCCACUGGAGCUAAGACCCCGGAAGCUUCCCCGUCGGGCAGCAGGACCGAGACCGAAGAUCUGGACCAAAAAGUGCGACUUCAGGACCAAGGCCAAGGCUCGCAUGGCCCUCUAGGAUUCAUCCGUUCUGGCGCCACCUUGUGGUGCAGUGUCUGGUGGGAGCGGGGCAGGAAGGGCGGCUCUGAAUUUAUGAAGGGCUCAGGUAUUCUGUAAGGCUAUGCUCAGUGGACUCGCCUCUAAUGUUACAAGCUAAGCUAUUCUUCCUUCUAUUUUGUUUUAGAGGGGAAUUUAAUCUUAGUCAGGAUAAAAGUUCUCGGCUUGUAUGUCUAUCCUCUCUGUGCCCACCCCCAAGAGCAUAACAAGAUAGCCAGGUCUGGUGGAGGCUGAAGAAAGAACAUUGCUACCAGUUUGAGGCUAGCCUGAACUAGACUGAAACUCUUGUUUCAAAGCAGGAGGAAAAAUUUCUUGUCCCUAGCUGUAAUGUCAGACAUCUGAUACAGAGUAGAGCUUUGAUAAAUAUUUGCUGAAA